rnacentral:rRNA from 1 species
GAUGAACGCUGGCGGCGUGCCUAAUACAUGCAAGUCGAGCGAACGGACGAGAAGCUUGCUUCUCUGAUGUUAGCGGCGGACGGGUGAGUAACACGUGGAUAACCUACCUAUCAGACUGGGAUAACUUCGGGAAACCGGCGCUAAUCCCGGAUAAUAUUUUGAACCGCAUGGUUCAAAAGUGAAAGACGGUCUUGCUGUCACUUAUAGAUGGAUCCGCGCUGCUUUAGCUAGUUGGUAAGGUAACGGCUUACCAAGGCAACGAUGCAUAGCCGACCUGAGAGGGUGAUCGGCCACACUGGAACUGAGACACGGUCCAGACUCCUACGGGAGGCAGCAGUAGGGAAUCUUCCGCAAUGGGCGAAAGCCUGACGGAGCAACGCCGCGUGAGUGAUGAAGGUCUUCGGAUCGUAAAACUCUGUUAUUAGGGAAGAACAUAUGUGUAAGUAACUGUGCACAUCUUGACGGUACCUAAUCAGAAAGCCACGGCUAACUACGUG